UGGGAUGUAGCUUGAUGGCAAAGCAUUUGCCUGGUAAGUGCAAUGUCCUGGGUUCCAUCCCCAGUACCCAA
rnacentral:tRNA from 1 species